AGUGAUGUGACGGAAGUGAAAGGAGAACAGAAGUAGAUGGCGGGAGAGAUGAUGUAGAGGUGAAAUAAGAUAACGGGAGGAGGGAUUUCAAGUGAUCAUAAAAUCCAGAAUGGCCGUCGUUUGUCCAGAAGGUGGGAUAAAUGCAUCUGUAAGCUGAUAUGUCAAACGCCAUCAAGCCCCAAAGAAGAAGGGAGGAGGACAGCACUACUGUGGUAGAGGAGCAGCGUGUGUGCAGACACAGCUGCUGCUGAUGAAUUGGACUGAACCUAGAGAAGAGACAGAAGCUAAAGUAUUGAUCCCGUCAAGUUAGUGUGGAUCUGAUACCAAUAUCAACAUCUGUGCCACGUCUAUUGAUGCUUGUAUCGAUCCGCCCAGCCUCAGUUCAAGCAGCAAUGGGUUCAGUACAGUAUCUGAGAGAGUUCAUCAAGGAGAGACUAACUGCUGUUUGUGAAGAAAUCUUCUCAGAGGUUCAAAACCAUCAUCCAGUAUGAGGAGGAGAUCAACCGUCUACACAGACAGGAUAUCAACCGGAAACCUGAUAGAAACUCACACAUCAUAGACCUCCCAAAACAACAUGACUGUAAGGAAGAGGAGGAUCUGGAUGAGCAGCAGGUCUGUAACCAGGAGAGGAACUCCAGCCUGGACCAAGAGGACCCAGAGACUCCACAGAUUAAAGAGGAAAAGGAGGAACUCGGCAGCAG